rnacentral:rRNA from 1 species
GUGGGGAAUUUUGGACAAUGGGCGCAAGCCUGAUCCAGCAAUGCCGCGUGCAGGAAGAAGGCCUUCGGGUUGUAAACUGCUUUUGUACGGAACGAAACGGUCCUGGCUAAUACCCGGGGCUAAUGACGGUACCGUAAGAAUAAGCACCGGCUAACUACGUGCCAGCAGCCGCGGUAAUACGUAGGGUGCGAGCGUUAAUCGGAAUUACUGGGCGUAAAGCGUGCGCAGGCGGUGCUGUAAGACAGGCGUGAAAUCCCCGGGCUCAACCUGGGAAUUGCGCUUGUGACUGCAGUGCUGGAGUGCGGCAGAGGGGGAUGGAAUUCCGCGUGUAGCAGUGAAAUGCGUAGAUAUGCGGAGGAACACCGAUGGCGAAGGCAAUCCCCUGGGCCUGCACUGACGCUCAUGCACGAAAGCGUGGGGAGCAAACAGGAUUAGAAACCCGAGUAGUCC